UAAAUCACGAAAAGAUAAAAACAAAAAAUAUAAAUUAAUAAAGAAAUAUUAUAAAUAAAUAAAUAAAUAAAUAAAAUAAAACGUCCAUCAGCUGAUUAUAGUAAACAAAGCAGAAACGUUGAUCAGCUGAUCAUGGUAAACAGAGCGGCAUGGCGGACGCUGCGGAACCUGUUGCCUCCUCGGCCGCUGGCGCGUUAGGUGGAAUUAUUCGGCCCCAUUGGAGAAGCUGCCUUAAUAGCCUUAAAAAAGCGACAUGUGGGGAAGAGAAGAGGCUGCACAGACACGAUAUAAGGUCCGGAAUCGAGUCAGAGUUGGGGACUUACGCAGAGUUUACUAUACCAUUCUAUAGCGACGGGGAGAUUCAAGUCUCGUUUGAGAAUGCUUAAUGCAACUUUCAUGGAUUUGUGCAAGCUUCUUAAGCCGGGGUUCAACUGGAUUUAUCUAGGCCUAAGACAUGACCCAUCUCUGGCCGCCAACUGACCAUGUUUCAACUGCCUGCAUGUGUGGUUUGAAUACACAGCAACUUGGAUCAUGGAUUCCCUAAUUUUGCUGUAGUUUCGGGUUUCAUGCCUUUUAAUUUUAGGAAAAGAGAAGAGGAGAAACCCCAGUGGAUAUGAGUCAAGGCUGUUUUCAGUCAGUUCUUGAAGGAACUGGCAAAUUAAGAUGAAGGAUAUGAAGAUAUCAUGUAAGAGGGUAAACAGAAGUAAAAGAUACAAUGAAGAGAAGCUCUGUAUUAUUAGGAAGUUUUUAGUUAGAAUGAUUCUAGUGAUAUUUUAAUCAUUUAUUUGUUGUGUUAAUGAUGUUAUUGAUGAUUCUGUGAUCUUUUGUUUAUUGCGGUUAGCAGGCUAUGUCUGAUUUUGCAACGUCACAUUAGCUGUAGUUAUGAGGCUAUGUAUGAUUUCGUGAUAUUUCGUUUAUUGUUAUUAUCGGGUUAAAGUUGAUUUUAUUAUAUUUCAUCUAAGGUCAGUUAUAAGCUUACUGUUAUUGUUAUAUAUAUAUAUAUUUUAUUGUACUUACUAGAAUUUUUUUUUUAUUUAGUUAUUGGUAAUUAUUUUUUUCCUUUUUCAUUUCCAUACAUUUUUUGUUUUCAUUUUUAAUGUAAUAUUCAUUGCCAAUAAAUCUGAUAUCAAAAUAUUGUUUUAGGCCACAAAUAAUGUUUCCUUCAAUAUUUGCAUUUUUACCACUGUAUACAUGUAUUCCUAUAACUGCAUGC